AACCUGGUUGAUCCUGCCAGUAGUCAUAUGCUUGUCUCUAGGACUAAGCCAUGCACGUAUAAGUGUAAGCGAUUUACAGUGAAACUGCGAAUGGCUCAUUAAAUCAGUAAUAGUCUCUUUGAUGGAAGCCGCUACAUGGAUAACCGUAGAAAAUCUAGAGCUAAUACACGCCAAGGAGUCAUGGCCUAGCAUUUUUGCUGGGGCGUGCGGUAUUUAUUAGAGGCCAAGACGAUGGCGCACUUGUGUGUCUUCUUUGGUGAGUCAUGAUAACUGUACGAAUCGAGGGCUUGUUCGCAAGCGUCGAUGGUUCAUUCGAAUUUCUGCCCUAUCAACUUUCGAUGGUAAGAUAGAGGCUUACCAUGGUGGUUACGGGUGACGGCGAAUGGGGGUUCUAUUCCGGAGAGGGGGCCUGAGAAACGGCCACCACUUCCAAGGAAGGCAGCAGGCGCGCAAAUUACCCAAUGGCGACACGCCGAGGUAGUGACGAACAAUAACGAUGGGACCCCCUUUGGGGGCCCCAAUUGGAAUGAGUACAAAGUACAAGCCUUAACGAGGAACAAUUGGAGGGCAAGUCUGGUGCCAGCAGCCGCGGUAAUUCCAGCUCCAAUAGCGUAUAUUAAAGCUGUUGCGGUUAAAAAGCUCGUAGUUGGAUUUGAGUCUAGUUGCGGCCGGGCUCAGGGCUUUGACUCUGGGGCGGGCGUGUAGACUGUAUGCGCGCGGGGAGGGGCAGGGAAUUUUCUCUGCUUUCUCGUGUGCUUUACUUUGAACAAAUUAGAGUGUUUAAAGCAGGCAUUUUUUGCCUUGAAUACAUUAGCAUGGAAUAACGAUUUUGACUGGAGCAGGCAUGAUGUUGUCUUGAUGACUGCGCAGUAAUGAUGGAUAGGGACGGUCGGGGACAUUCGUAUUGCUCCGUCAGAGGUGAAAUUCUUAGAUUGGAGGAAGACGAGCUGAUGCGAAAGCCUUUGUCAAGGACGUUUUCAUUGAUCAAGAACGAAAGUUAGGGGAUCGAAGACGAUCAGAUACCGUCGUAGUCUUAACCAUAAACGAUGCCGACCAGGGAUUGGGGAAGGCAGUAGACUUUCUCACGACUUCCCCAGCACCUUAUGAGAAGUCUGAGUGUUCGGGUUCCGGGGGGAGUAUGGUCGCAAGGCUGAAACUUAAAGGAAUUGACGGAAGGGCACCACCAGGAGUGGAGCCUGCGGCUUAAUUUGACUCAACACGGGGAAACUUACCAGGCCCAGACAUAGCGAGGAUUGACAGAUUGAGAGCUCUUUCUUGAUUCUAUGGAUGGUGGUGCAUGGCCGUUCUUAGUUCGUGGAGUGAUUUGUCUGCUUAAUUGCGAUAACGAACGAGACCUUGGGGGGUUGCUGCGCGAGGGCGCUACUUGUUAGCGGCCCGUGCUCCUACUCCUACUGCUGCGUGUUGUAACCAGAGGAAGUUUGAGGCUAUAACAGGUCUGUGAUGCCC
rnacentral:rRNA from 1 species